rnacentral:rRNA from 1 species
GACGAACGCUGGCGGCGUGCUUAACACAUGCAAGUCGAACGGAAAGGCCCUGCUUUUGUGGGGUGCUCGAGUGGCGAACGGGUGAGUAACACGUGAGUAACCUGCCCUUGACUUUGGGAUAACUUCAGGAAACUGGGGCUAAUACCGGAUAGGAGCUCCUGCUGCAUGGUGGGGGUUGGAAAGUUUCGGCGGUUGGGGAUGGACUCGCGGCUUAUCAGCUUGUUGGUGGGGUAGUGGCUUACCAAGGAUUUGACGGGUAGCCGGCCUGAGAGGGUGACCGGCCACAUAGGGACUGAGAUACGGCCCAGACUCCAACGGGAGGAAGCAGUGGGGAAUAUAGCACAAUGGGCGGAAGCCUGAUGCAGCAACGCCGCGUGCGGGAUGACGGCCUUCGGGUUGUAAACCGCUUUCGCCUGUGACGAAGCGUGAGUGACGGUAAUGGGUAAAGAAGCACCGGCCAACUACGG